GACGAACGCUGACGGUGUGCUUUAGGCAUGCAAGUCGAACGAGAAAGCCCUUCGGGGUAAGUAGAGUGGCGAACGGGUGAGUAACACGUGGGCAACCUGCCCCUCGCAGGGGGAUAACCGGAGGAAACUCCGGCUAAUACCCCGUAAGCUUUCAGGGUCGCAUGGCCCUGUAAGGAAAGGUAGCUUCGGCCAUCCGGCGAGGGAUGGGCCCGCGGUGCAUUAGCUAGUUGGUGGGGUAACGGCCUACCAAGGCGACGAUGCGUAGCUGGUCUGAGAGGAUGAUCAGCCACACUGGGACUGAGACACGGCCCAGACUCCUACGGGAGGCAGCAGCCAGGAAUCUUGGGCAAUGGGCGCAAGCCUGACCCAGCAACACCGUGAGGGCGAUGAAGGCCUUCGGGUUGUAAACCCCUUUCAGUUGGGACGAAGCUUCCAGUGUUAAUAGCGCUGUGGAGUGACGGUACCUUCAGAAGAAGCCCCGGCUAACUACGUGCCAGCCGCCGCGGUAACAC
rnacentral:rRNA from 1 species